ensembl:misc_RNA
UUAACAGCCAGGGAAGCUCAAGUGCUCAAAGCAGAUGCAGCAUGGACCACAGCAGUGCAAACUUCUCCACACUGCCCUGUCUGCCUCCUGCUACCCAAACCCUGACCUAGAGGGAUCAUCUGCAAAGGUGAGAAGACACUUCAGCCUCUCCGCCCGUUUAAUUGCUGACCUCU